rfam:Medicago truncatula strain A17 unplaced genomic scaffold scaffold0542, whole genome shotgun sequence.
AUAUAAGCAAAUUUUGACUUUUAGAUUCAUUCAAUCAAUGAUGUAUGUGGUUUAUAUUAUAGACCACAUACAUCAUUGAUUGAAUGAACCUAAAAGUCAAAAUUUGCUUAUAU